rnacentral:rRNA from 1 species
UACGUAGGGUGCGAGCGUUGUCCGGAAUUACUGGGCGUAAAGGGCUCGUAGGUGGCCAACUAAGUCAGACGUGAAAUCCCUCGGCUUAACCGGGGAACUGCGUCUGAUACUGGAUGGCUUGAGUUCGGGAGAGGGAUGCGGAAUUCCAGGUGUAGCGGUGAAAUGCGUAGAUAUCUGGAGGAACACCGGUGGCGAAGGCGGCAUCCUGGACCGACACUGACACUGAGGAGCGAAAGCGUGGGGAGCGAACAGG